GCCGCCGUAUUGUUUCCCCAAACCCUAACCCUCCACCGCCGUAUGCAACUUUGCGUCAUCUCUGCUGGUGGAGUUCCAUGGCCGGGUUAUCGCCUAAACAUAUAUGAGGCGAGCGUGGAGGAGAUUGUCGACGUACGUGAAACACCUCUCCAUCCAAUCGACGGGCACGUUAGUGCUAAUUGCACCUCGGCCGCCAGAGUGGUGAUCUGUUCAUAACAUCCCCUGCAUCUACAUCGAGUUUAUAGGAGGCAGCCAUCACCGCUACAAAUUUUGUCAGAUCGUCGCCCAUGUCAUCUGCUCCAAACCACCAUCUUUGGUUUGCAUGCGAAUCUGCCGAUGAGAAGACUAUAUCGUGGACUCUACAUUUGCCGACCAUGUGUGGCGCCGCCUGCCAACAUGCAGUAGUUGUGUCGGCCUUCUCUGGUCACCAUGGCCAUGCUCCAACCCUCGCCCGAGACGGUGAAGAAGCCAGCAUCGUCAGCCAAGCCCCGGGCGGAGGUUGCGAAAUUUCAGACGCUUUCCACCGUACACGAGAACUGUUUAUGGGUGCUGAAGAUUAGAAGAUGAUGACCAAAAGCUGAUGGUGUGAGAAUUAUGCAAGUGUUCA